rnacentral:rRNA from 1 species
GAUGAACGCUGGCGGCGUGCUUAACACAUGCAAGUCGAACGGGAAUUAUUUUAUUGCAACUUCGGUCGAUUUAAUUUAAUUCUAGUGGCGGACGGGUGAGUAACGCGUGGGUAACCUGCCUUAUACAGGGGGAUAACAGUCAGAAAUGGCUGCUAAUACCGCAUAAGCGCACAGAGCUGCAUGGCUCAGUGUGCAAAACUCCGGUGGUAUAAGAUGGACCCGCGUUGGAUUAGCUGGUUGGUGGGGUAACGGCCCACCAAGGCGACGAUCCAUAGCCGGCCUGAGAGGGUGAACGGCCACAUUGGGACUGAGACACGGCCCAGACUCCUACGGGAGGCAGCAGUGGGGAAUAUUGCACAAUGGGGGAAACCCUGAUGCAGCGACGCCGCGUGAAGGAAGAAGUAUCUCGGUAUGUAAACUUCUAUCAGCAGGGAAGAUAGUGACGGUACCUGACUAAGAAGCCCCGGCUAACUACGUG